CCUACGGGUGGCAGCAGUGAGGAAUAUUGGUCAAUGGACGAGAGUCUGAACCCGCCAAGUCGCGUGAAGGAUGACUGCCCUCUGGGUUGUAAACUUCUUUUAUAUGGGAAUAAAAUGUUCAACGUGUGGGAUUUUGUAUGUACCAUAUGAUUAAGGAUCGGCUCACUCCGUGCCAGCAGCCGCGGUAAUACGGAGGAUCCGAGCGUUAGCCGGAUUUAUUGGGUUUAAAGGGAGCGUAGGUGGAUUGUUAAGUCAGUUGUGAAAGAUUGCGGCUCAACCUUAAAAUUGCAGUUGAAACUGGCAGUCUUGAGUACAGUAGAGGUGUGCAGAAUUCGUGGUGUAGCGGUGAAAUGCUUAGAUAUCACGAAGAACUCCGAUUGCGAAGGCAGCUCACUGGACUGCAACUGACACUGAGGCUCGAAAGUGUGGGUAUCAAACAGGAUUAGAUACCCGGGUAGUC
rnacentral:rRNA from 1 species